rnacentral:rRNA from 1 species
GAUGAACGCUGGCGGCGUGCCUAAUACAUGCAAGUCGAACGAGAGCGCCCGGUGCUUGCACUGGUCAAUCUAGUGGCGGACGGGUGAGUAACACGUGGGUAACCUGCUCAUCAGAGGGGGAUAACAUCCGGAAACGGAUGCUAAAACCGCAUAGGUCUUCGAACCGCAUGGCUCGAAAGGGAAAAACGGCGCAGGCGUCUGCUAAUGGAUGGACCCGCGGUGCUUUAGCUAGUUGGUAAGGUAACGGCUCACCAAGGCACUGAUGCAUAGCCGACCUGAGAGGGUGAUCGGCCACAUUGGAACUGAGACACGGCCCAGACUCCUACGGGAGGCAGCAGUAGGGAAUCUUCCGCAAUGGACGCAAGCCUGACGGAGCAACGCCGCGUGAGUGAAGAAGGUCUUCGGAUCGUAAAACUCUGUUGUUAGGGAAGAACAAGUGCUAGAGUAACUGUUAGCGCCUUGACGGUAUCUAACCAGAAAGCCACGGCUAACUACGUG